GCACAUAGUACAUCCGGUGUUAGAAGAGCUCGUAGGCUCCGGAGAGGCGGGUUAAGAAGAAGGGAAGCUUUGUCACACAGACUCUGGAACCAUGAACAUAUUUGAUCAACUUUGAUGCACUCUUAAAAUUUUCCCAUAUAACCCCCUCCACACAGCAGCACCUAAAGAAGGUCUAUGCAAGUUUUGCCCUGUGUAUGUUUGUGGCGGCUGCGGGAGCCCAUGUCCAUGUGGUCACCCAUUUCAUUCAGGCUGGCCUGCUCUCUGCCUUGGGCUCCUUGGGGUUGAUGAUUUGGCUGAUGGCAACACCUCAUAGCCAUGAAACUGAGCAGAAAAGACCGGGACUUCUUGCCGGAUUUGCUUUCCUUACAGGAGUUGGCCUGGGCCCUGCCCUGGAGUUGUGCAUUGCCAUCAAUCCCAGCAUCCUUCCUACUGCCUUCAUGGGCACAGCAAUGAUCUUCACUGCUUCACCCUGAGUGCGCUCUAUGCCAGGCAUCGCAGCUACCUCUUUCUGGGAGGUAUUUUGAUGUCAGCCAUGAGCCUGAUGUUCUUGUCUUCCCUGGGAAACCUUUUCUUUGGAUCGAUUUGGCUUUUCCAGGCAAACCUGUAUGUGGGACUGGUGGUCAUGUGUGGCUUUGUCCUUUUUGACACUCAACUCAUUAUUGAAAAGGCUGAAAAUGGAGAUAAGGAUUAUAUCUGGCACUGCGUUGAUCUCUUUUUAGAUUUUGUUACUCUCUUCAGAAAACUCAUGGUGAUCCUGGCUAUGAAUGAGAAGGAUAAGAAGAAAGAGAAGAAAUGACCACCCACCCUUUUCCAAUUUGACAUCCUCUCCCUUCACCCCUCAUUUCUUCUUUGCACACAUUACAGGUGGCGUGUUCUGUGAUAAUGAAAAGCAUCAGAAAAGAAAAAAAGAAAAGUCACAA